rnacentral:rRNA from 1 species
ACGGAAGGCAGCAGUGGGGAAUCUUCCGCAAUGGGCGAAAGCCUGACGGAGCAACGCCGCGUGAGUGAUGAAGGUUUUCGGAUCGUAAAACUCUGUCUUUGGGAACGAAGGAAGUGACGGUACCCAAAGAGGAAGCCCCGGCUAACUACGUGCCAGCAGCCGCGGUAAAACGUAGGGGGCGAGCGUUGUCCGGAAUUACUGGGCGUAAAGGGCGUGUAGGUGGUAUGAGAAGUCGAAAGUGAAAUGUCGGAGCUUAACUCCGGACUUGCUUUUGAAACCAUUGUACUUGAGGACAGGAGAGGGAAGCGGAAUUCCCAGUGUAGCGGUGAAAUGCGUAGAUAUUGGGAGGAACACCAGUGGCGAAAGCGGCUUCCUGGCCUGUAACUGACACUGAGGCGCGAAAGCGUGGGGAGCAAACAGGAUUAGAUACCCUGGUA